rnacentral:rRNA from 1 species
UACGUAGGUGACCAGCGUUGUCCGGACUUACUGGGCGUAAAGGGCGCGUAGGCGGCCUGUUAAGUCGAACGUGAAAUCCCCGGGCUCAACCCGGGAACUGCGUCCGAUACUGGCAGGCUUGAAUCCGGGAGAGGGAUGCGGAAUUCCAGGUGUAGCGGUGAAAUGCGUAGAUAUCUGGAGGAACACCGGUGGCGAAGGCGGCAUCCUGGACCGGUAUUGACGCUGAGGCGCGAAAGCCAGGGGAGCAAACGGG